AACAGAGCAGCGAUGGCACAAGCCAAGAACCAUGGGUGUGAAACCAGGCAGAGUGAGUGACAUGGUGUUCAUUUCCACUAAGCCAAAGCAGUUUACAGUUGCUGACGGUGUAAGGAGUACACGUUACAAGGCCGUGCGGGGGGAGCUGCCAG